rnacentral:rRNA from 1 species
UAGGGAAUCUUCCACAAUGGGCGAAAGCCUGAUGGAGCAACGCCGCGUGUGUGAUGAAGGCUUUCGGGUCGUAAAGCACUGUUGUAUGGGAAGAGCAGCUAGAAUAGGAAAUGAUUUUAGUUUGACGGUACCAUACCAGAAAGGGACGGCUAAAUACGUGCCAA